UGGGGAAUAUUGCAGCAAUGGGCGCAAGCCUGAUGCAGCCAUGCCGCGUGUGUGAAGAAGGCCUUCGGUUGUAAGCACUUUCAGCGAGGAGGAAGGUGGUGAACUUAAUACGUUCAUCAAUUGACGUUACUCGCAGAAGAAGCACCGGCUAACUCCGUGCCAGCAGCCGCGGUAAUACGGAGGGUAGCAAGCGUUAAUCGGAAUUACUGGGCGUAAAAGCGCACGCAAGGCCGGGUUUGUUAAGUCAGAUGUGAAAUCCCCGGGCUCAACCUGGGAACUGCAUUUGAAACUGGCAAGCUAGAGUCUCGUAGAGGGGGUAGAAAUUCCAGGUGUAGCGGUGAAAUGCGUAGAGAUCUGGAGGAAUACCCGGUGGCGAAGGCGGCCCCCCUGGACGAAGACUGACGCUCA
rnacentral:rRNA from 1 species